rnacentral:tRNA from 1 species
UCCGAAUUGGUGUAUUGGCUAGCAUUUCCGCCUUUCAUGCGGGAGAGACGGGUUCGAUUCCCGUAUUCGGAA